UGGCAGCUGGAGUUGACUCUUGA
rnacentral:miRNA from 1 species